rnacentral:tRNA from 1 species
AUAAUUUUAAGUUAAUUAAACUAUUAGCUUUCAAAGUUAAAAAUAUAUUAUU